rnacentral:rRNA from 1 species
UACGAAGGGGGCUAGCGUUGCUCGGAAUCACUGGGCGUAAAGGGUGCGUAGGCGGGUCUUUAAGUCAGAGGUGAAAUCCUGGAGCUCAACUCCAGAACUGCCUUUGAUACUGAGGAUCUUGAGUUCGGGAGAGGUGAGUGGAACUGCGAGUGUAGAGGUGAAAUUCGUAGAUAUUCGCAAGAACACCAGUGGCGAAGGCGGCUCACUGGCCCGAUACUGACGCUGAGGCACGAAAGCGUGGGAGCAAACAGGG